AACCUUUGACCAGUAAUGUACAGUACUUACUCUAUAUUGAAUCCUGAUAUACUGUUGAUUACUCUGUUUUCUUUUCUUUUCUUUUCUUACAUAUCUAGGUCUGUGCAUCAUGUGGCUACCACCGUUUCUGGCAAAACCAGCCAAUGCUCCACAGGAACAUGCCAACCUGCAACCUCCUGUUAAGUGGGGCCAUUCAUUUUACUGGAUGUUUGGCCACACAGACACUAAGCAAUUUCUUUCGCCAUCAGCGCCACUACACCAUCCCUGUAAUCGUUCAGGCCUGGCAGAAUGAUCAAGCCAAGAAUUUUAGUGACCUACGGGCAAUGGAUGGCGGGCUAGUUCUUGCUGGUGACUGCAGUUAAACCAAUGUGAGAACUAGCAAGGUGGUGGAUGUUCAGCUUGUUCAGGUAAACCUGAUGUUAUUAGGCAAAGAAAUGAACUCUGCAAUUUGUUAAAAGGAUUGUAUCUUAAUAUAACAUCUUUCCACUAGUAC
rnacentral:lncRNA from 1 species